UCAACGGCGGCAGAGGCGACGAGGGCUACGAGGAAUACGAAGGGGAAAAGGACGACAAGAAGGACGAGAACGAUUAUUUUCGAUUAUUCUCCUCUUACCUUACGAACGCGCGACCGUCAUCACCGUUCGCCCUCUCAUCUGUAUGCCUUGUGUACGCCCCCACCUUCACCGAUUUUCCAUGAAUGUUAACAUUGUCUUCCCACAGCCGCUGGUAAUGCAAAUACCCUUCCUUGAUCUGAAGUCUGCAAGAUGGUUCUCAUCGUCAAGUUCCAAUUUUAGCUGAGAGUAAUACAGAAAUAGCGAAACAAAAUUGGUCCAGCUUGGUGGUAAUGCGGGGAUGUGGAUCUGCUUCGACCCGAUAGGAAGCCGAGACGGCUGGGGUGCUUCCAUUUCGUUCGUCGUGCUUCUAUACUGGACCUCCAUCACCAUCGAUGCCAGCCUAACGAAUGCGGCCGCGUCCAAUGUCCCACGUAAUACCGUUACGUCGGAGAUAUCGGUACCAACGUCGGCACACCACGAGAACGACGAAUGCAGGAAUGUGACCACUGACAAUAGAGAGGGUACUGGACUGUCAGUGGUCAGCCAUGGAUCCGGUUAUCCUCAUUCGCCGAUAGUGCCUCCAACCUUCCUGUACGGAGCUCUUACCUGCCAACCCUAUCAAGGAAUUUAUGUGAACCACAUCUACUUUCAACUCGCAAAUGCCUUCUUCCUAUUGUCACACCUUGCACCAAGCGGCAUACAUGGUGUACUCUAUUUAAGGUGCACUCUACUCGUGGGCUGUGCCUUUCUUGCUUUGUGGGGCUGGACAAUAGCUUGCUGGCUGGACGCUGCUCUCUGGAAUGUUCUCUUUGUUGCCAUCAACUUCGUCCAUGUAUGCACGCUUCUUUACAAGCUCAGGCCUAUCAAGUUUUCAAGGGAAAUUGAAGAGGUGUACAUUGCAGUGUUCCAGCCGUUACGGGUGUCUCGUCAUCAAUUUAGAAAAGUACUAAAUUGCAUGAAGGUUAUUCGCCAGUUAAAGUAUCAAGAGGUUUAUGCGCAGGAGAAAGUGACCAAAGUUGAUUCUUUAUCAUUGGUGCUGUCGGGAAAGCUAGUGGUUUCGCAAAAUGGGAGAGCGUUGCAUAUUGUCUUCCCACAUCAGUUCCUGGAUUCUCCAGAAUGGUUUGGCGUUUCGACAGACGAGUACUUCCAGGUGUCAAUAACAGCUAUGGAGGAGUCAAGGAUAUUAUUAUGGCAUAGGGACAAACUAAAAUUAAGCAUAAUUACCGAUCAAUUCCUGCAAGCAGUAUUUGAUCAUAUUCUGGGCAGAGAUGUUGUUAAGAAAUUGAUGCAGGUCAGUGAAACGAUGGCUGCUAGUAGUCAUCAGCAACAGAAUGGACAGAUAAUUGGUCUAGGUGGAAUUGGAGCCUUAGAAAACGAUACUGAUACGAAGCUUUUCGUUGUAAAAAAGACUGGUGACAGUCAAGGCAUCACUGCUCUCAUCAGUCGUCAACUUCAAGAAGAGAGAAUGCCGCUGCUGUACACGAGUCAAGAGGUACUGAGCAAUACCUUACACCAUGCGAAUCACCUCAAUGUACCUCGUACGUUUCCUUUACACCCUAUACCGUUCGAAAAAAACGUUCAAUCCUCGCUAUAAUAUCCUUGCCUGUCUGUGUGCAACGCUCUAGCACAGAAUCAUAUAUGGUGUACAUGUUAUGUUCCUGCAAUGGAUGCGCGCAUACAUUACACAAAUGUUACAGAGUAACACCAUUUAUUAUUUUUCCUGGGUAUUGUACCGAGCGGCAGGAGAUCCGAACGCUUGGAGAUUGGGAAGAAUCGAAGAGACUGAUCACGAAACACCCGUUUAAUGGAAAGAUUGUUAAGUCGACGUCAUCCUCGACAGUCAAUAUAACAUAACACCGGUGUUUUUACAUAAUGCGAUUACAACAAGCAGACAUUCAUCGUGACGAAAACCACACAAGGCACAUUUAAACUGUGCGCGGAACAAUUGAACAUUCUCUUGCCAAUUAAUAAUUUUCUCACGACUAGUCAACUGUAUGCGAUAAUAUGAAAAAUUCCAUCGUUUUGUAGCAUAUAAUUCCACCCUAGUUUAUAAAAAGCGAGUAAUUGAUAAGUUUAUGCUUCCAGUGUAUUUUUGAGUAUGCCUGAGCAAUUGAACUUACGAAUGGUUAUUUAUAAUUUACUUUGUGAAGUCGGUAUGUUUUCUGACAGAUGAACAAUGACUGAGACUUUAUAAAAGUGUGUACAAUGAGAUAUAAGGAUGGCACGUUCGCGGCGGCGUAACUUCUGUUGAUGCAAGGUCUGUGAUCGUGAAGGUACUCGAUAGAAAUUCAGGGAGGCCUAAAGAAACAAAUUCUUUCCCAUAUCCAGAAAUAGUGCCUUUUUACUUACACUUCCUUUCUUAAUGUUUCCACGGAGAAAAUAUAUAUACAGUAAUAUGUAUGACUUAAUGUAUCUAGUAGAAUUCUCCAAAUGUCGCUGUAUUACAUGUUCGAAGGUCCAUGUUAUGAUACUGUUAAUCAACUGGUGUUUUAAUGGGGUCAAAGAAAUACACGAAGUUACGCCAUUAUUAUCGCAUUGGAUGUUACAAAAUGUGAUGUGAAGGGAUAUUGUUGCGAAGUUUGUUCAUUACAUUCUAGAUACGCCGAAUUGCGUAUAUAACAUUCGGCAUUUAACGUAAAAAAAAAACAAAUUGCUGUAAUGCCAGCAUGAUUGACGAUUAUUGUGCGUUCACUGCAAAAUAUUAUGUUUUGUUAUGGUUUCUUUGCGAACGAUGCGUAUAAUAAUUAUUUUGCAUAAUUCAGCUCAAGCGAAAGUAAAUCCUUUAACGUUUCAGCUGUGUAUCUUAUAAAAUGAAACUGAAGAUGAUUACAUACUUGUAAAAGGAUCACAGAUAUUACAAUUAAAAAAAGAAAAAAAAACGAUAGAGAAGGACAGUAUCAGGAUAAUGGAGCUUAAAACAAGUCUCGGUUUUGACGAUUAAAAUAUUCUAAUAAUCAAAGUAUCAGAAGGAGAGAAUUCCUCCCGAAACAACUUUGUUCAAUCUUUGCAACUAUUGUAUUGAAGAUUAGCAUCAUGUUACUAAAAUAUUGAUAUCAUGCCCAGUUAAGGUUGUAAUACAUACUUUAAAAAGACUUUUUAUAUGUACAAUCAUAACAGAACAUAUUCUAUUUCGAGUAUUGCAGAUAGUUUAUCGCAUGAUAUAACAAUGUUCUCUAUUACAUAUACAUACUGCAUAUCUAUAACGAUAUUUUGGUCUGGGGGAUAUCAUUUUACCUAGCGAAAUACGAAAUGUAGGAAUGCCUUUUGAUAUGUACAAGUGUGGAAUGCAGGACCAUAAGAUUUAACAUCUUUUGCAUAUGAACCGUAUACAAAGAGAAUGGAGUGUGUAUUACUUUCCAUAUAAAUGUGAAUUAUAUGUUAUUGAAUAUUUGUUGUUUAUCGUCUCUAAUUGUUGUUACGAUUAUUUUUAUACGUGAAAUUGUUUUUAGUAACAUAGAUAUUGAAAGAAAGUAUGAGUGACGAAAGAGCGAGCGAAAGAGAGAGUAGGAGAGAAAUGGAGAGAGAAUAUAAAUCUCACAUUGAAUACAAUAAGAAUGAGUAUAAAGUGGUGAUACGAAUAAAGAAAGUUAGUUUUA
rnacentral:misc_RNA from 1 species